CUCAAAAACUCCAUCCGAUCAACCUAAACCAAAACCAAACCCAAACCCGAUUUGACCAUAAAAAGUCAACAACAUGAACCCAUCCAACCACACCCAAAAAUGACUCAAACCCAAUCUGAAAUUGACUUAACAAAAAUGACCCUGACAUUUUAAAUUUUGAAUUGAUCCAAUCCAGAAAGAUUCGAUCCAAAAUCAACCCGACUUGCCGAAUAGACCUGACCUUUUUAGUUUACUCAAUAAAGUGCACUAGUAAAAGAAGCAUUUCCUUCUGAUUAAAUUUGUCAGUCAAGAUAGGUAGAAUUAAAAGGAAAAGCAAAUCAAGUUCAAUAGCUUACAUCACCUUUCCAAAUCCGGAAGCACUUCUGGUUAAUAGGCGAGCCGGUUAUUGUCUGAAUAACAUCGAACAACAUAUUCUGAGGUGUGCUUCUAAGCUCUUGGACAAUCCCAUAAAUGGUCUUCCCAUUCUCAAAGUAUAUGUGAUUAUUUGGAUGCUUUGUUUUGCAACCAGCAUGCCGCUCAAAUUCAUAUGCAUUGAUCACCUAUGAGAACGUAGAAACUCUGCUCAUCAGCACACACAUAAGUGCGUACACAAUUCUCUCAAAAAAGAAAAAAAAGGUAAAACCGAGAAACCACACCUUAGAAAAAUUGCAUGUCUGACAGCCACAUUGAUAUCCCGAACUCUUUAUAACACCGUGGAGCUCCUUCUGAAGUUCAUAUAAAGAAGCAGGCGUAUCACCGGACAAUAAGGUAAAUAAAAAGAACACAAGUAAUGAGAUUUUACCUCCUGUGACCAUGCAAUAUAUUUAACGGGAACUCCAUCAAGCAUACCAGUUGACAGCAAACUUCUAACAUUUGAUGGGAAGUUAUUUGAAGUAAGUUUUUUGGAUGUUUUCUGCUCAUCUUUCUUCCUAGGAACUUCAGCUCCAGAGGCAAUAAUAUUAUUGGAUAUAGACACUUUUUCACUAGAAGCAUUGGAUCUUUGGACAGAAGACUGACCCAUCAAUAAAUUAUAGCCUGAUACAAUCCUUCCUGGCGGAUUUGUAUCAUCAUCAUCAUUAGAGCCACCAAAUGAUAUAAUAGUACUCUCACCCCUACUAUAGGACUGACCAAUUGACAAAUUAUAGUUGUCACCCUUCUUGUAGCUUUGACUGAUAGAUAUGGUACUGUCAUCUCCUUUACCAUAGGUCUGACACACAGUUACAGAACUAUCAUCUGUCAUGUAUGUUUGACCCAUGGAUAUGAAAGUGUUUUCACCCUUAUUGAAGGUAUUGCUCAUUGCAAGUGCAUUAUUAUCCUCACUUUUGUUAUAGGAUUGUCCCAUAGACAUGAAAACAUUAUUCUCCCUUUCAUAGGUGUCACCAAUAGGAUCCCCUUUGUUAUAAGAAGAACCCAUCGGCAUAAUACCAUCUUCCACCUUGUUGUAUGCAUGAUCAUUUGACACAGAGGUAUUAUCAACCCCAUUAAACACAUAUCCCAUUGAUGCAGACAUGAUAUUCUCCGAAUCCUUAACCUCGCUGACUUUUACCUUCCUAAUCCCACCAAGGUUUAACCCAGAUCUAGGAUCUUCUAGUGUAUGAGACAUAGAUAAACAGAAUGAAGAAUCAUUUGUAAAUAUAUCUUCAUUAAGCUUUCUCCCCAUGACAACUUUCUCACUGCUAACUGAUGGCAUGCUUCGAUCAUCAAAAUUCACAGCUCGAGCUGAUUCGGUGUCGAAUAACCGUUCAGCAAACUGCCCCGAGAUUGAAUGAAAACCAGAUGCAUUUCCCCAUGGAGACAGGUUUGAAUUCAAGAUUCCAGAAAAAAAGUUGGUAGUUGAAACUCCAACCGCCUGCUUCUUGUUAGGAAAUAUAUCUGUCUCGGAACCAUCCAUAAACCAUUGAUGAGAACGCUUGGGCUCAAUUCUAGAUGAAGUAUCAUACACCAUCUCACCAUCGUUUAAACACCCAGCUCCUUUCGUCAUCCAAAUGCCUUGAUUCUGGAAAGACUGUUACAUGUAACAAAUUCCUAAUCAGAGGCGUAGAAGAGAAUAACAACAACAGUUGAAUCUUUUUCAUUGACCUAGUAUCAAGAUUAACCGCAAGCCAUAAAUAUUUAUAACAUAAUUAAUGGACAACUUCAAUAAGGUGAACUUUGUUUUUGCACCUAUCAAAAGCUUGACUAGGCACACCAAGCAUGCACUUGAAGAAGGAUUGAAAUAACUUUUGUUCUCUAGUGCUAAUAUACAGCGCCUAAGGACGCACCUUGGUCUUUGACAACCUCAGCACUUCAGCACCAACACACACAACUUACCAAGUAGAAAAUUGUCAAACUGACAUUUUUCUUCACUCAUAUAUACAUACUUAUAUAUGGUUCAUCAGUGCAUCCCCACCUAAAUUACUCUAUUACAACUGUUUGGCAAUAAAAGACACAAUCAUCUAUAGUUCUUUUUUUUUUUUUACCAAAAAGCAUAAUUUUUCAGUUGAUACAGAAUUUUAACCUUCUUUAACUAUGUGAAACUACAUAAGGGACAAGGCAAUAAGCAAUUGCAGAACAAUUAACGAUAAAAAUUAAAACCACUGAAUCAAUCACAAAAGAUACACAUAAAACUGAAAAACAGCAUCGAAAGCAACCAUUAGACCCUUCUCCCACCACUUAAAGCACAUAAAAACAUACCAUUUUUCUAGCUUUAUUUCAAAGUUCUAUUUGGAUGAAUCCUCGCUUCCACUUUGCUGUAACAGUCCAACAAUUAAAACUCUAUCAUAUUGCAUUAAACAAGGAUCAAAUUUACAACUUUACCACUAAACAGCAAAGUUCUAUAACUCCUGGCUGAAGCAGAGACUGUAAAACUUCGUGAGAAUUGAAGCCUUUAAUCGCUAAAGUAAUUAUCUGCAAAAUUCAGGGAAUAAAUCACUUGAAAAACUCUGAGAACAAAUAAUAGUGACUCCAAGGCUGAGGUAUUGUAUCUUUCACUCGAAAUUAUGCAAAUCCAUUCCCUUAAACAUAUUUUAAAACAUAUAUAUUGUUGUAAUUGCUGUUAUCCUUUGUCUUCCUCUUUGCAGCCAAACACAAUCAAAAUUAACCAACAAGAUCAGGCAGCAGGGGAUGCAGCAAAUGCUCCAAAAUCAGGUUGCUGCGGUUGAGCUACGAUCGAUGAUGAGCUCUGAAGGGUAUAUUUUCUUCUCUAGUGAGCUCUUUGAAUUUGGGAAAACUGUAACUACAUUCUUCCAGUUUGUAAUUUCUUCUUAUCUAUUUUGCAUCUAUUACUCUUUCGGUCUGAAAUGUUAGAUCCCUGAUAUCCUGCGAAAUUAAUUAUUUUUGCAAGUUGCCUCUACCAUUUUGACAUUUGGAGUUGAAGCUAAGAACCGCUCGGUGCCAUCCAUUAAUUGGAGCAUAAUUAGAGAUGACAAUAGGACAGAUUUGGAACAAAGUCAUUUUGGAGUUUUUCGAGUUUGGUGUGUGGGCUAGGAUUUGGGGCCAGCUCGGUAUUUUCUUCGUAAUUUUCAAACUUUUAUAAAAGAUGUAAGCAUUCUAACAUGUUCUUGUUAGAGUUCAAUUGAGCUCAGGUUUAAAUCAUUUUUUUUUAUCAAAUUUCAGUUCAUGGGUUGAGACUUGAGAUGUGGCCAUGGUCAAUACCAAAAAAUUAAGUCUGAACUCAACUCCCGAUGAUUUUUUUAGUUCAUAUAUUAUAAAAUAUUAUAUUUAUAUCAAUUCAGUAUAAUAGUUUAUAAUGAAGUUCAAAUAAAAAUAUAUUAUUGAAUGUUAAUUUAAGUCAAAAAAAGAAAAAUUAUCUUUGUCCAAGCUGGCCAAGUAAUUCGCUCAAACCAGUACACGAAAUUAAUCAAGCCCUAAAAGAACAGUACUUAAAAGAAGCAAACAACACAUAAAGACGGGUAGUUUCCUCCGUUCCUCCUUUAGUUCACCAAAGGUGCAAUACCAAAAACAAACAAAAAAAAAAGUCUGAACCGAUGAUUUUUUUUGUUCAUAUAUUAUAAAAUAUUAAAUAUUAUAUCUUACCAAUUCAAUAUAAUACUUCAUAAUAAAGUUCAAAUAAAAAAUUUAUUAUUGAAUUUAAAUUCAAGUCACAAAAGGAAAAUUAUCUUUGUCCAAGCUGGCCAAGUAAUUCGCUCAAACCAGUACACAUAAUUAAUCAAACCCUAAUAAAAGUACUUCAAAGAAGCAAACAACGCAUAAAGACAGGUAGUUUCCUCCGUUCCUCCUUUAGUCCACCAAAGGUGCAAAAUUUAGAUUUCAUCUCUAUCUCUUGAAUUAAUAUCCGACUACAUGUUUGCAGAGAUACAAGCAAAUACACAAAUAACAAGUAUCUCUCUUUCAGGCAUUAACUCCCUACUUUUUAACAUAAUCCCUACCCCCGUAAAUUAAAAAAAAAAAAAACCCCCCACGCCCGGUGCUGUCACCAUUAACAAGCAUAAAGUCUCGUAAAAAGUCACUUCCUUCAUAUUCACAAAACAGAGAUUAACCCUACCUUGCAAAUGAAAAUGGUUGUUUUAUGACAAUUGUUUCAUUUCAUCCUUCCCAUAUAUACGCUGAAGUUCAAGAGUGGCAGCUAAAAACGAAUCUGAAAAAAGAAAGAGGUGCAAAGUAGACAUGUCAAUUGUAUCCCAUCUCAAAAACUCCAUCCGAUCAACCUAAACCAAAACCAAACCCAAACCCGAUUUGACCAUAAAAAGUCAACAACAUGAACCCAUCCAACCACACCCAAAAAUGACUCAAACCCAAUCUGAAAUUGACUUAACAAAAAUGACCCUGACAUUUUAAAUUUUGAAUUGAUCCAAUCCAGAAAGAUUCGAUCCAAAAUCAACCCGACUUGCCGAAUAGACCUGACCUUUUUAGUUUACUCAAUAAAGUGCACUAGUAAAAGAAGCAUUUCCUUCUGAUUAAAUUUGUCAGUCAAGAUAGGUAGAAUUAAAAGGAAAAGCAAAUCAAG
rnacentral:lncRNA from 1 species